GCGGGCAUAGUUUAGUGGUAAAAUGACAGAUUGCCAUUCUGUAGACGGGAGUUCGAUUCUCCCUGCCCGCA
rnacentral:tRNA from 1 species